rnacentral:rRNA from 1 species
UUGACCUCAAAUCAGGUAGGACUACCCGCUGAACUUAAGCAUAUCAAUAAGCGGAGGAAAAGAAACUAACAAGGAUUCCCCUAGUAACUGCGAGUGAAGCGGGAAAAGCUCAAAUUUGAAAUCUGGCGGUUCUUGAACUGUCCGAGUUGUAAUCUAGAGAAGUGUUACCUGUGCUGAACCGUGUACAAGUCUCCUGGAAUGGAGCAUCAUAGAGGGUGAGAAUCCCGUCUUUGACAUGGACUGCCUGUACAUUAUGGUGCGCUCUCAAAGAGUCGAGUUGUUUGGGAAUGCAGCUCAAAAUGGGUGGUAAAUGCCAUCUAAAGCUAAAUAUUGGCGAGAGACCGAUAGCGAACAAGUACCGUGAGGGAAAGAUGAAAAGAACUUUGGAAAGAGAGUUAAACAGUACGUGAAAUUGCUGAAAGGGAAACGCUUGAAGUCAGUCACGUUGGCUAGAAAUCAGCCUUGCUCUUGCUUGGUGUACUUUCUGGUUGAUGGGUCAGCAUCAAUUUCGACCAUUGGAUAAAGUCUCUGGGAAUGUGGCAUCUUAGGAUGUGUUAUAGCCCAGGGUCGCAUACGGUGGUUGGGAUUGAGGAAUUCAGCACGCCGCAAGGCCGGGUUUCGACCAUGUUCGUGCUUAGGAUGCUGGCAUAAUGGCUUUAAUCGACCCGUC